rnacentral:rRNA from 1 species
CCUACGGGUGGCAGCAGUGAGGAAUAUUGGUCAAUGGGCGUGAGCCUGAACCAGCCAAGUAGCGUGAAGGAUGACUGCCCUACGGGUUGUAAACUUCUUUUAUAAGGGAAUAAAGUGCCGCACGUGUGCCGUUUUGUAUGUACCUUAUGAAUAAGGAUCGGCUAAAUCCGUGCCAGCAGCCGCGGUAAUCCGGAGGAUGCGAGCGUUAUCCGGGUUUAUUGGGGUUAAAGGGAGAGUAGACGGGUUGAUAAGUCAGUCGUGAAAUCCUGGGGCUUAACCCUGAAAGUGCAGUUGAAACUGGCGGUCUUGAGUACAGGUAGGGUAGGCGGAAUUCGUGGUGUAGCGGUGAAAUGCUUAGAUAUCACGAAGAACUCCGAUUGCGAAGGCAGCUUACCGAA